UGGGGAAUAUUGCACAAUGGGCGCAAGCCUGAUGCAGCCAUGCCGCGUGUAUGAAGAAGGCCUUCGGGUUGUAAAGUACUUUCAGUCGGGAGGAAGGUGUCAAGGUUAAUAACCUUGGCAAUUGACGUUACCGACAGAAGAAGCACCGGCUAACUCCGUGCCAGCAGCCGCGGUAAUACGGAGGGUGCAAGCGUUAAUCGGAAUUACUGGGCGUAAAGCGCACGCAGGCGGUUGAUUGAGUCAGAUGUGAAAUCCCCGGGCUUAACCCGGGAAUUGCAUCUGAUACUGGUUAGCUAGAGUCUUGUAGAGGGGGGUAGAAUUCCAUGUGUAGCGGUGAAAUGCGUAGAGAUGUGGAGGAAUACCGGUGGCGAAGGCGGCCCCCUGGACAAAGACUGACGCUCAGGUGCGAAAGCGUGGGGAGCAAACAGG
rnacentral:rRNA from 1 species